AUUGCAUCUUAAAUUAGACUUUUGAAGUGAUUAACCUCCCUAGCGUUGCUUGUUUCAUGAAUAUAUUAUUUUUAAAUCAUCAAAACAUAUUUGUUGAGAAAUGUUAAAGACUUGGGUAUUUUAUGGAACUGUUUAAAUAGAAUUUAUAAGCACACUUAGAAAAAUCCUAAUAGAUUUUUUUAUGUUUUAUCCAAAUGAGUAUGCAUACUAUAGAAAAUUAUUCUAUAGUGGCUGAAGGAAGUAACCUAUAGACUAAAUAUAUGGGAUCGUAUCAUAUCCCACUUACAGAAGGCUCUCUCUUUAUCUCACAGAACAGAAAGACAGCAUGAGAACUGGGAGAGCUGAGAACAACUGUUGAACCAUGGAUGUAAUGAUCCCCUUCUUUCCAUCAGCAACAAUGGCAAAUCCUCUGUGCUGAAGACCACAUUUUCUCCCUGGAAAAAUGGAAAUGUUACUGUUUAGACACAGAUCCCUGAAAAGGAUAUUUGUUGGACCCCAGGAUGUAUUAUAAUGGAAGAAAAUGA
rnacentral:lncRNA from 1 species